rnacentral:tRNA from 1 species
GGGGCUGUGGUUCAGUGGUAGAGCACUCGCCUAGCAUGUGUGAGGCCCUGGGUUCGAUCCUCAGCACCA